GUCUAUGGCCAUGCCACCUUGAACAAGCCCAAUCCCAUCUGAUCUCGGAAGCUAAGCAAGGUCGGGCCUGGUUAGUACUUGGAUGGGAGACCACCUAGAAAGACCAGGUACUGUAGACG
rnacentral:rRNA from 1 species